GGGCUGGGUGCAGUGGCUCACUCCUGUAAUCCCAGCACACUUUGGGAGGCUGAGGUAGGCGGAUCAACUGAAGUCAGAACUGAGUUCAAGACCAGCCUGGCCAACAUCCUGAAACCCUGCCUCUACUAAAAAUACAAAAA